CCUACGGGAGGCAGCAGUGGGGAAUCUUGGACAAUGGGCGCAAGCCUGAUCCAGCAAUGCCGCGUGGGUGAAGAAGGCCUGCGGGUUGUAAAGCCCUUUCGGUGGGGAGGAACGGUCUGGUGCUAAGAGCGCUGGACUUUGUCGUUACCCACAGAAGAAGCACCGGCCAACUCCGUGCCAGCAGCCGCGGUAAUACGGAGGGUGCGAGCGUUAAUCGGAAUUACUGGGCGUAAAGGGCGCGUAGGUGGUAGGGUAAGUCCGGGGUGGAAUCCUAUGGCUUAACCAUAGAAUUGCCUUGGAGACUGCUUUACUUGAGUCAGUAAGGGGAGGGCAGAAUUCCUGGUGUAGCGGUGAAAUGCGUAGAUAUCAGGAGGAAGGCCGGUGGCGAAGGCGGCCCUCUGGUACUGGACUGACGCUGAGGCGCGAAAGCGUGGGGAGCGAACAGGAUUAGAUACCCUGGUAGUCCACGCCCUAAACGGUGGGCACUAGGUGUAGGGCUCGUAAGGGUUCUGUGCCGAAGGGAAACCAUUAAGUGCCCCGCCUGGGGAGUACGGCCGCAAGGUUGAAACUUAAAGGAAUUGACGG
rnacentral:rRNA from 1 species